CUGGUUACGUGAUUUGUGUCAGUAGCCCACCCUUUUACCCCAUCCAUAGGCUUCAUGCUUUACUGGACACUGCUGUUAGGGGUUAUGGGUUUACUUGAAAGAUGAAAGCGUGAGAUUAGCAUGGGGUAUGUGUUUCCUUCCAGCACCAUCUCCAUCAGAUACAUGACGCUGAGGAGGUAGGACUGUUUUAGUGUUUUUGGUCGAUAAGAUUUUGUAAUUAGGCCCAUCAUAAUUGUCAGCACCAGGCCCACUGGGCUCUUAAUCUGGCCCUGAGU